CAUAUGGUUUAGAGACCUUUUUUUUAUGCUCGUUCUCUCUCCCCGCUGAAUCCUCUCUCUCGGCCAGUGCUCUAUCUCUCUGCCUUUUUCUUUUUCUUUUUCCUUUGCAACUUGAAUCUUUGAUUAAUUCAUCAUCUCUUGGUAGAUUUGGGUGCCGUUUGAGGCAAAACGAAGCUCGUGUCAAGCUCUAUAUAUCCAUACCAUCAAUUUCCAGUUUUGAGUCUUCCUUGGAGCUCGAAUUUGAGGACCCAUUUUCUAGGGUUUUGGUGCAAUCUUGAGGUCUUGGAAAAGAACCGGUGAACGACAAUCCACCCCAACUUUAAAAGUUGCUAGAGGAGCAUUUUCCUUGUUAUUUUGUAAUAGACUACUCCUUUGUUCAUCCCUCAUUUUUGUAAAAUUCCAAAGGUGUAAUGAUGUAAAUUUCUUUUAAAGAACCAUGAUCAUGUAAUACAUUUAUGAUACUUGAUGACAUAUGGGAUGCGAACUUGAUGAUAUGUAAUUUGUUGAUGAAUGGAAGGAUAAUCCUAGCUUGAAGCA